GGUGCAAGGUUUUCGGUGAGUUUCCUAGAGUUUUAGCCUGGGGUUCGGAAAGUGAGAAAGUGAGCUACGAGUGUCGUGAGCUCACAAAAUCUCAGAGAGAUCUUCAACAUCCUCUCAAGCACGUCUGUUGAUGAUUUAGGGCAUCCGAUGAAUUGACAGACAUCGAUCGAAGGAGUUCGAUCAGCAUCGGCCAUCAAAAGGGCUCUACAAUGAGCUAGCACUCGUGAGGAGUCGAUC
rnacentral:lncRNA from 1 species